UUGGUCCAUUUAGAGGAAGUAAAAGUCGUAACAAGGUCUCGUAGGUGAACNUGCGGAGGGAUCAUUACAGAGUUCAUGCCCUCCGGGUAGAUCUCCCACCCACUGCUAUCACUACUCUCGUUGCUUUGGCGGGCCGCUGGGCCCUGCCCGGCCGCCGGCCCCGGCUGGCGCGUGCCCGCCAGAGACCUCGCAGACUCUGAAUGUUAGUGUCGUCCGAGUAACUAUACAAUCGUUAAAACUUUCAACAACGGAUCUCUUGGUUCUGGCAUCGAUGAAGAACGCAGCGAAAUGCGAUAAGUAAUGCGAAUUGCAGAAUUCAGUGAGUCAUCGAAUCUUUGAACGCACAUUGCGCCCUGUGGUAUUCCGCAGGGCAUGCCUGUUCGAGCGUCAUUUCAACCCUCAAGCCUCGCUUGGUGUUGGGCCCUGCCCGCCGCGGCCGGCCCUAAAGAUCAGUGGCGGCGCCGCCUGGCCCUCAGCGUAGUACAGCUCUCGCUCCAGGGUCCGGCGGCAGCCUGCCAGAACCCCCCAACUCUGUGGUUGACCUCGGAUCAGGUAGGGAUACCCGCUGAACUUAAGCAUAUCAAUAAGCGGA
rnacentral:rRNA from 1 species